AUUGAACGCUGGCGGCAUGCCUAAUACAUGCAAGUCGAGCGGACGCACGGGCUUCUUCCUGCUGUCACGUUGGCGACGGACGGGUAAUUAACACGAAGAUAACCUACCUAUAGGGCUAGCAUAACGUCGGGAAGCCUAAUCUAGUACCGGACAAUAGGUUGAACGCCAGGGUUCUACAGUGCACGACCUUUUUGCUGUGACUUUUACAUGUUUCCUUGGCGGAUUAGCUAGUUGGUAAGGUAACGGCCUACCAAGGCUACGAUGCGUAGCCGACCUGAGAGGGCGAUCGGCCACACUGGAACUGAGACACGGUCCAGACUCCUACGGGAGGCAGCAGUAGGGAAUCUUGCGCAAUGGGCGAAAGCUUGAUCCAGCAACGCCGCGUGAGUGAUGAAGGUCUUCGGAUCGUAAAGCACUGUUGUCAGGGAAGAAAAAAAGUGUACGAAAACAUCGGUGUGAUGACGGUACCCAAAGAAUAAGCAACGGCUAACUACGUG
rnacentral:rRNA from 1 species